UACGUAGGGGGCUAGCGUUGUCCGGAAUCAUUGGGCGUAAAGCGCGUGUAGGCGGUCCGGUAAGUCCAUUGUGAAAGUCGGGGGCUCAACCCUCGGAUGCCGGUGGAUACUGUCGGGCUUGAGUACGGAAGAGGCGAGUGGAAUUCCUGGUGUAGCGGUGAAAUGCGCAGAUAUCAGGAGGAACACCAAUUGCGAAGGCAGCUCGCUGGGACGUUACUGACGCUGAGACGCGAAAGCGUGGGGAGCAAACAGG
rnacentral:rRNA from 1 species